GGGACGUACGGUAAUAUCAUGAACUGGUGGGAAAUUCCUUGAUUAUGCUAAUACCGCCUAGGGAUAGGGGUAGGACGAUCAAUUGGAUAGCAAGCCGGUAAUUAAUAAUAGGCUCUUUUCACCAAGGGAUUGGGCUAAGGGUAGACUAAGAAAGUUUGCAUGGCAAUUGGAUAAAUAAGUGAAGUAAAUAAGAAGAGUAGAUAUGUGAGAGCGGAUAAGAUGAAAUUGUAAACCCCAACAACACCAUUCGUCCAUAGUUUUUCCUUGCCAAUUGAAUCACUUGCAUUUUCAUGUUUAGAUUUUGUUCUUUGCAUUAAAAACUUCAAUUUAAUUCUUUUCUCAAGUCUUAAGCGAUUG
rnacentral:lncRNA from 1 species